UACGUAGGGUGCGAGCGUUGUCCGGAAUUAUUGGGCGUAAAGAGCUUGUAGGUGGUUUGUCGCGUCUGCUGUGAAAAUCCGAGGCUCAACCUCGGACUUGCAGUGGGUACGGGCAGACUAGAGUGUGGUAGGGGAGACGUGGAAUUCCUGGUGUAGUGGUGGAAUGCGCAGAUAUCAGGAGGAACACCGAUGGCGAAGGCAGGUCUCUGGGCCAUUACUG
rnacentral:rRNA from 1 species